AAAAAAAAAAAGAAAAAAAAAUCCAGGCUGGAGUAAAAAAAAUGCAGAACUUUAAAAUAAAAAAGCAUACUCCAUCUACUAAAAAUUUACAGGAGCAAUCAUGGACUGAUGUGCAAGGAGGGAAAUAAUACGAGGAACAAACCUGCUUGUCGUUAUGCAGACAGAUGGAAGGAUUAUAGCAAGUAACAAAUUAUCAAGGGAUAUAAAGCUUUUAAGUGGUCAGCUUUUCCUCGUAGUACAAAAGCUGUUUUGUUUGAGGAUCCAUCACCAUAAAUAAUUUGUCAAUACGAAUCCGUGACUGGUGGGUUUUUGGAGGUGGCUUUGAUUGUUUAAUGACCACACUCAUUAGUCAUUACUGCAUUACUAGCUGUUUUUUUCCUUCAUUCCUUUGUUCUUGUAGAAAUUUGUGGACUUCAACAAAGAAAGAUCAAUAUAGGCUCUGUGUAAAACCAGGUGACGGACAUGAUAAUAGAUAACAGGAUAUCACACAGGAUGCUUGUGGAUAUAUUCACAACAUUCUAUACUGUUUUGCACCAAAUCCUUGACUGCAAAGUGUCUCAAGCGCUCCGCUCAAUCCUGUCUAAAUCCCAAAAGAUAAAGAAAAAUAAUUAACAGUUUCAUAUAGGAUAGGGAAAAUAAUUAAGGGCAAGUAGAAAGUAGAAACAGUAUGGUAGAGACCUUCAUGGUUUAACAAAUGUGAGUAGCUUUUGGUUAGCAGUUGGAGAUCCAAACACAGCUAGAAAUUUCUUUUUCUUUUUAGUGCUUCAAUUAUAAUUUUGAAUCCUAAUCUUCAGAUUUUUGGUAAAGUUACGAGACCAUUGGCAAAAAGGAAGAAGAAAAUCAGCAAUAUUGCAUCAGGAAAAAAAAAAAGGCAAG
rnacentral:misc_RNA from 1 species